GACGAACGCUGGCGGCGUGCUUAAUACAUGCAAGUCGAACGGACAGGUCCUGCUUUUCUGGGGUGCUCGAGUCGCCAACCGGUGAGUAACCCGUGAGUCACCUGCCCUUUACUUUUGGAUAAAUUCAGGAAACCGGGGCCAAUACCGGAUAGGCUCUUCUGCUGACUGGUGGGGGAUGGAAAGGUUCGGCGGUUGGGGAUGGUCGCGCGGCUUAUCAGCUUGUUGGUGGGGUAGUGGCUUACCAAGGCUUUGACGGGUAGCCGGCCUGAGCGGGUGACCGGCCACAUUGGGACUGAGAUACGGCCCAGACUGCUACGGGAGGCAGCAGUGGGGAAUAUUGCACAAUGGGCGGAAGCCUGAUGCAGCAACGCCGCGUGCGGGAUGACGGCCUUCGGGUUGUAAACCGCUUUCGCCUGUGACGAAGCGUGAGUGACGGUAAUGGGUAAAGAAGCACCGGCUAACUACGUG
rnacentral:rRNA from 1 species